GAUGAAGAACGUAGCGAAAUGCGAUAAGUAAUGUGAAUUGCAGAAUUCAGUGUAUCAUCGAAUCUUUGAACGCACAUUGCGCCCGGCAGUACUCUGCCGGGCAUGCCUGUUCGAGCGUCAUUUCAACCCUCAAGCCCUGCUUGGUGUUGGGGCCCCACGGCUGCCGUGGGCCCUGAAAGGAAGUGGCGGGCUCGCUACAACUCCGAGCGUAGUAAUUCAUUAUCUCGCUUAGGGCGUUGGGCGGCGCUCCAGCCGUUAAAGAACCAUCUUUAACUCAAGGUUGACCUCGGAUCAGGUAGGAAUACCCGCUGAACUUAAGCAUAUAAUAAGCGGAGGA
rnacentral:misc_RNA from 1 species